AGUGAACGCUGGCGGUAGGCCUAACACAUGCAAGUCGAACGGCAGCACAGUAAGAGCUUGCUCUUACGGGUGGCGAGUGGCGGACGGGUGAGGAAUACAUCGGAAUCUACUUUUUCGUGGGGGAUAACGUAGGGAAACUUACGCUAAUACCGCAUACGACCUACGGGUGAAAGCAGGGGAUCUUCGGACCUUGCGCGAUUGAAUGAGCCGAUGUCGGAUUAGCUAGUUGGCGGGGUAAAGGCCCACCAAGGUGACGAUCCGUAGCUGGUCUGAGAGGAUGAUCAGCCACACUGGAACUGAGACACGGUCCAGACUCCUACGGGAGGCAGCAGUGGGGAAUAUUGGACAAUGGGCGCAAGCCUGAUCCAGCCAUACCGCGUGGGUGAAGAGGGCCUUCGGGUUGUAAAGCCCUUUUGUUGGGAAAGAAAAGCAGCAGGUUAAUACCCCGCUGUUCUGACGGUACCCAAAGAAUAAGCACCGGCUAACUUCGUG
rnacentral:rRNA from 1 species